rnacentral:rRNA from 1 species
CGCUGGCGGCGUGCCUAAUACAUGCAAGUCGAGCGAACAGACGAGGAGCUUGCUCCUCUGACGUUAGCGGCGGACGGGUGAGUAACACGUGGAUAACCUACCUAUAAGACUGGGAUAACUUCGGGAAACCGGAGCUAAUACCGGAUAAUAUAUUGAACCGCAUGGUUCAAUAGUGAAAGACGGUUUUGCUGUCACUUAUAGAUGGAUCCGCGCCGCAUUAGCUAGUUGGUAAGGUAACGGCUUACCAAGGCAACGAUGCGUAGCCGACCUGAGAGGGUGAUCGGCCACACUGGAACUGAGACACGGUCCAGACUCCUACGGGAGGCAGCAGUAGGGAAUCUUCCGCAAUGGGCGAAAGCUUGACGGAGCAACGCCGCGUGAGUGAUGAAGGUCUUCGGAUCGUAAAACUCUGUUAUUAGGGAAGAACAAAUGUGUAAGUAACUAUGCACGUCUUGACGGUACCUAAUCAGAAAGCCACGGCUAACUACGUG